rnacentral:lncRNA from 1 species
AUUUCAAAUUCAUUGCAUUUUGAAGUAUGGGUGAAAUGAACUGAAACAUGAGAGUACAUUUUCUUCUGUAGCACUCUGGAAAAUGAGCUGUUGCAGUCGGUCAUUUUCUGGGAGAAAAAAAAAUCUAUUAUGCUGAGUUUCUUAUUUGAUGCCGAGCUUGUCUGCCUGGCAGAGUUAAUCAAACAUUGAUUCUUGGACUAAUUUUCACUUUCCCGUGUGAAUGUGUGAUAGCAGAGAGAAUAGUCUGUACCAAAAAGGUACGCAUCCUGGCUUGCUCUCGCUGUCUUUGCCUUUGCAAAGCUCAGGAAACCUUUGAACUCAAGCCACAAGGGAACCAGAAAGGAAUUAAGAGACAAGUCCUGUGAUCCGAGGCAGCAGAUAGAACUGGUUUGUGCUGUCUAGACAUUUGUCAUAUAAGUCUUUAGUCUGGGAAAAGCCCCUAUGGCUUGUGUUGUUUUCUGAUGUGGAUUGCUCUUGGGGAGCUGUGUGUGGUUAGCAGCCACAGCUUUUCCUCUUGACGAGGAAGGAGGAAAAUUCUUCCUAAGCACCAUGAAUUCUUGAGAGAGUUUUUUUGCAGAGGCACAGUGCUCUGAGGACUGAGCACUGCCUUGAAAAGGUCAGUAUUGCUCCAAGUUAGGUACGCAUGCAGCAACCCAGGCAUCAAGUCGUUGCUCUUGUUUCCUGUGGGAAGCCGACCUGGGAUACUCUACGUCUGCAACUUCAUGGACUCAUGGACCAUGAGGCAUUAGAGGCAGUGCAGCUCAGACACGUCAAGAGGACGAAGAUGGCCAGAUGUUAAAACUGUAUAACAGGAUGGAGCUUCCCAGAAAACUACAGAUCAUUAAACUGAAAAAAGUCACAAGCUUUGUCAUCCUAUCAAAUUGGGUAAGUAGUCCUGGGGAAAAACAAGACUCACUG